UUUUCUUUUUGAUUGUUUGCUCUUCUUUUCCAUUUUUCAGCUUCUUGUGAAAGAAGCUUUGUGCCUCCCUGAAGAUGAGAAUAUUCAUCUAAAGCAUCUUUUAGUGCUGUCUGAAGUUGUUCAUCAUUCUUGUGAUGUAUUUUGAAGGCAAUUUUGGUUUUUUUGCUACUUGAAAUUGAAUGUUAAGAUAAACCUUUUAAAUUCUGAAUCUUUCUUGUAAUGUCAUCCAUUAGAUUACUUUGUUAUAAAUAUUUAGAUUUAAUCUCUUUGAAAAGUCUAUUAAGCCCAAGUGAAAAUUUGGAGCUUCCCAGGUCUUUAUUAGUGACCUCCAGUUACUGUAUUUCUGAUAACUUAUUCUCGUCUGACUUGCAUUACAGUGGACUCAAGGUCUCCUCCAAAUUCCUUUUUAAUCAGGGUAAGAGUUUCGAAAACCUGAUGGCUUUCCACUGGAAAGACAGUAUUCUAGUGGCUGGUGUGUUUCUACUUAAGCAACAAUUUUUUAACAACAACAAUAAUUAAAAAACUAUGACUGUAUGUACUGCCAUUUUUCAUAGCAAUCUGUGGGUACCUGGGCCUGAUCUGUGAUCUGCUAACAGUGCUUCUAUCACCUGGCACAGCAUCCAGCAUCUCCAGGAUCAUUGCAACGCAACAUCAUGGCCAUCAGUGGGUACUUCAUGGUCCUCAAGGUCACUCUGAGUUGCCUCAGAUUUGGUAAGACUGUGCUAGUCACAACAGACUGCAGAAAACACUGGUGUCUUCUCCUUGGAGCUUAUAGGAUUGCAUUAGAAGUGAGCUGAGGUCCCCCAGUGAAGGUGGUUGUCAUGUAGUGGAAGUAAGAGGACCUGUGUUUGAAAUCUCUCUGGCAGUUGUACAUUGUGCUAAUGUAGGUAUGUAGACUGCUUACUUGUAGCCUCUGUUCUAUAGCCCUAUACUAAAAAACAGGGAUGAAAACAUAUAUAGUAUAGCUGACAAAUGGACAAGGACUUAUUACAUUUUAUGUCGUAUCUGUAGUUGCAGAUUUGGGAGGUAGAAGGUGGUCAAUAAAUGUUUGAAUGGCAAUGUGCUUUGAAAAUCAUAAAUCAACGUUAAAAUGUAACGUAUUUAUUACUCUGUGAAGGCAGUGACUAAGUUUUGUAACUCUUUGUACAGCUCACAGUGCCUUUUACAUGUCAAGUGUAGGAGCAAAGGAGUACAGUAGAAAGAUCACAGGUUUAGGGAUUAAACAUGCCUGGGUUUGAAUCCCAACUUUGUCCCAAAUCUAUCAAAUUACUUACUGUUUUAAGCCUCCAUUUUCUUCAUAAAAUGGGGAGGCCGUAACUCAUAGAGUUGUUGUGAGAUCUAAAUCAAAGAACAUAAACUGCCUAGCAAAAUUUCUGGCUUAUUUGGAAAGCACAUUAAAUGAUAGUCUUUUCCUGUAUUUAAUGAAUGAAAAAUAACUGUCCUAUUCAAAUAUAGAUGUGAAUGAUCCCCAAAUCAAGUAUUAUUUAGUUAUGUAUUGUAUAUAUAAGUGUUAUGAUAAAAUUAUUAUUGUUAAAAACAUUCUGG
rnacentral:lncRNA from 1 species